rnacentral:rRNA from 1 species
GAUGAACGCUAGCGGGAGGCUUAACACAUGCAAGUCGUGGGGCAGCACGGGGUAGCAAUACUCUGGUGGCGACCGGCGCACGGGUGAGUAACGCGUAUGCAACCUGCCCUGUACAGGGGGAUAGCCCGGAGAAAUUCGGAUUAAUACCCCAUAAAGAUAUCGAGAGGCAUCUUUUGAUAUUUAAAGCUUCGGCGGUACGGGAUGGGCAUGCGUGACAUUAGCUAGUUGGUAGGGUAACGGCCUACCAAGGCUUCGAUGUCUAGGGGUCCUGAGAGGGUGAUCCCCCACACUGGUACUGAGACACGGACCAGACUCCUACGGGAGGCAGCAGUGAGGAAUAUUGGUCAAUGGGCGACAGCCUGAACCAGCCAUCCCGCGUGAAGGAAGAAGGCGCUAUGCGUUGUAAACUUCUUUUCCAGAGGAAUAAAAUUCUGUACGAGUACGGAACUGAAGGUACUCUGGGAAUAAGCAUCGGCUAACUCCGUGCCAGCCGCCGCCGUAACAC